GUGGGGAGGGGUGGCAUUCACAGCACACAUUCCCGGCUUCUUUAUCACCCGGUGAAUGAGUUUGGGGCACGAGUCGAGAUGUGAGGCUCAUGUCUGCAUCCCUCAUCCCUGAGGGUUCUCCAUGACCCCAUGCUGCUCUUCUGCUCAUUAGCGGUUGGAAUCGGCCUCCCAGUUCACCAGGUGGCACAGGAGUCCAAUCGCGACACGCAAACAUUCAACGUUCAAGAUGCCCCAACAGCAGAGAAGCAGAGAAAUGAGUAAAAGGUAUCCCUUAUGCCGCCGCUUUCCGAGGCCCGAGACGCGACCCCAAUCAGCUCCCCUCCAUUUCCUCGCUUCGAACUGUACACAUGUUGGUGCUGUUUCGCUGCAUCCCCUGCCAGACUGGUGUGGAACGCCUUUUUCAAAGGAAGCCCAGGAGACCCUUGACCCCAUAAGAGGGUCUGUGUGGGGGCCCAGCACUACAGAGAUCAGUCUAGCAGCCGGCGCUGUGCAGUCAGUACAGGUUUGGACUGGGUUUACAGAAGUGCUCUGGAUCUGGACCACAGGACAUGCUGGGUUUGCUCACUGCUGGUGGUGGGUCAUGGUCAUCCCAUCCAGCCAAUCUGGACCGGGACCAGAGAUGCUUCACACAAGCAGUCGGCAUUGACUGGUAAUUUUUCCGUGGAUGUUAACGUACCCACUGUUUAAUGUGUUAAAAAUAAGUCCCUCUAAGGGACACAGGUACGGUUCGAUGAAGGGGCCCUGCUAAGCAGUUUGGUAAUAGACCCAGGAUUGUUUUAAACAAAAGUUUACAUCAUCAUUAGAACAUUGACACAAUUUGAAAAAAGCCCAGAGUGGUUCUUUUCAUUUACCAGUACAUGCAGUCUCCGAGCAGGUAAUGCCAUGUAUGGUCAGCGACAGUGCACUUUAAUAACGGCACUGAUUUUAGACCAUGUUCACUACUUCUCACUUUAGGGACCGCACUCUAGAAAGUCUUUGUUGACCCUAAUGUCUUCAGCCAA